rnacentral:tRNA from 1 species
GCGUCGUCGAGCGUCGUCAUUGUCUAUAUGGCCUCCGGAGCCAGAGGUCGUAGGUUCGAUUCCUACCGGGCGCA